rfam:Candidatus Peribacteria bacterium RIFOXYD2_FTLL_58_15 rifoxyd2_full_scaffold_335, whole genome shotgun sequence.
AAAAACGUUACUCAGCGCAUCACAUGGAUGCCUCGACUCUGUACUCCGACGAAGGACGUAGCCAGCUGCGAUAAGUCUCGGUGAGCCGCUAGGCAGGCGCUAUCAGCCGGGAAUGUCCGAAUGGGGAAACCCCAUGGAGGUUAUACUCCAUGACCCCGCGCAAGCGGGGAGGUCACUCUGUGAACUGAAACAUCUCAGUAACAGAGGAAAAGAAAUCAAUUGAGAUUCCCUAAGUAGUGGCGAGCGAAAAGGGAACAGCCUAAACCCCGCACUUUAACCUGCGGGGGGUUGCAGGACCUCAUGUACCGAUUGUGUGUUUCUAGGCAAACGACCCUGGAACGGGCGGCCAAAGAGGGUGAGAGCCCCGUCGCCGAAAGAACCACACACGGGAGAGGAUUCCUAAGUAAGAUCGGACACGUGUAAUCCGGUCCGAAUCCGGGUGGACCACUUCAUCCAAGGCUAAACAGGUACAGAGAUCAAUAGCGGAUAGUACCGUGAGGGAAAGGUGAAAAGCACCCCGAAAGGGGGAUGAAAUAGUCUCUGAAAUGUGAUGCGAACAAGGAGUCGGAGCGCCUCGCUUCGCGAGGCGAAUUGAAAAUUGAAAAUUGAAAAUUGAAAAUGCCGGAUUUCCUCCAUUUUCCAUUUCUCAUUUUCCGUUUUGCAUUCGCACCGCGAAGCGGGGCGUGACGGCGUUCCUUUUGCAUAAUGAGCCAACGAGUUUGUUGUCAGUGGCUUGGCUAAGGCAGUUUCAGCCGCAGCCGGAGCGAAAGCGAGUCCGAAUAGGGCGUUAUCGGUCGCUGGCACAAGACCCGAAACCGGGUGAGCUACCCAUGAGCAGGGUGAAGGGCGCCGGAAGGCGUCUGGAGGCCCGAACCAUAACAUGUCGCAAGAUGUUGGGAUGACUUGUGGGUAGGAGUGAAAAGCUAAUCGAACCCGGAGAUAGCUGGUUCUCCUCGAAAUGCCUUUAGGGGCAGCCUCGUCGCGCACGAUGGGGGGUAGAGAUACUGUUUGGAUGAGGGGGUCUCUUUGGACCUACCAAUUCCUGACAAACUCCGAAUACCCAUCCUUUGGCGGCGGGAGUGAGACGGUGACAGCAAAGUGCCAUCGUCGAAAGGGAAAGAGCCCAGAUCAUUCGCUAAGGUCCCCAAUCAUCGUUCAGUGGCAAAGGUAGUGCAGAUGCAUGGACAACCAGGAGGUUGGCUUAGAAGCAGCCAUCCUUUAAAGAAAGCGUAACAGCUCACUGGUCGAUUGCAUUUGUGCGCCGAAAAUUACCGGGGCAAAACGAUGAACCGAAGCGGUGAGCGCAGGGUGUCACUUGUGGUUUUGGAUAGGCGUAUGCCUCUCCGAAGCCAGAAGCGACGCCCUGUGCAGUAGAGGAGCGUUCCGUCCAGCAGUGAAGCCGCAUUGUGAAGUGUGGUGGAGCGGACGGAAGCGAGAAUGUUGGCAUGAGUAACUACUAGGCAGGUGAAAAUCCUGCCCGCCGAAUCCCCAAGGUUUCCCACGCAACGGUUAUCGGCGUGGGGUUAGUCGGUCCUAAGGUCAGGCCGAAAGGCGUAGCCGAUGGGCAACAGGUCAAUAUUCCUGUACCUCAUGGGAAUCGUCCAAGGGUGGAUGUUGAGAGUCUGUCCGGCCUCUAUUCUCCACCAUUCUGCAUUUGGGGAGCUUGUUAGCUGGUUUGCUUGUUGGCUUAUUCGUAAUUUCCUAACAAGCGAAUAAGCCAAUAACCCAACAAGCUUGCACGAAUCUAGAAUGGUGGAGAACAUGUCAGAUAGAAAGGAUACUUCCAACCUAGGAGCGGUGUGACGGAGCGGGAAGAUCAGAGCGUGUGCAUUGAAUGCACGUGGAACACGUAAGGCGUUGAUUCUGGGAGGCAAAUCCCCCGGAAGAGCCGAGCGUGGAUCCCUUAUGCCCCGUUUACGGGGAAAGUCUGUCCCUUUCUGCUUCCAAGAAAACCAUCGCUCCGAGAGAAUCAUGAGACCGUACCGCAAACCAACACCGGUGGGGUGGUCGAGUAGACCAAGGCGAACGGGUCAUCUCGCGUUAAGGAACUCGGCAAUGAAGCGUCCGUAACUUCGGGAUAAGGACUGCCCGUCUCCGCAAGGGGAUGGGCCGCAGCGAAAGAGCCCAGGCGACUGUUUACCAAAAACACAGGUCCCUGCUAAGUCGCAAGACAAUGUAUAGGGGCUGAUGCCUGCCCAGUGUCAGAAGGUCACGUGAGGAGGUUUACGCCUCCGAUCUAAGCCCUGAUGAACGGCGGCCGUAACUAUAACGGUCCUAAGGUAGCGAAAUUCCUUGUCGGGUGGUCGAUAAGCAACUUGCCCGAAUGUGCCGCAAGGCACAGCACUGAGGAGUUUCAGCAGUUAUUUGGUAAGUGGUCUCACCGCGUCAGUCGGUGAUGCCCCGCUUCGAAAGCGGCGGGGCGGGCAAAUGGAGUGAGCCGAGUUUUCCAAGGGUGAACAUGUCACCCUCAUUCAAACCGUUAGAACUGUGGCACCAUAGAAGACCACAGCAGUGAUUUACGUCGCUAUAUGCUGGAACAUCCGGCGCAUCCCUUCGUACCGUUCACGGUAACAAUCGAAGGGUGAAGUCUGAUCCGGACAAUCAGCAGGAAACCGCUGGCCGAAGGGCUCGCGGGCUCCUCAGAGACUACACGCGACGCAUCCUGACGGAAUUGAAAAUAGUAAAUUGAAAAUGGAAAAUUCAAUUUUCCAUUCUCCAUUUUACAUUUUCCAUUCAUCCGAAGGAUGAUGAUAUAGUCCGAUCCCUCUGGCGACAGAGGGCGUGGGCAAUCGCUCCACGGCUGAUGUGCAAAUGUCAGCAACAUGCGUGGAUAGGUAGUACGUAGUAUGUAUUACGUAUUGUGGGAAUCCCUUAAUACAUAAUACAAAUCCCUUACUACCCUUCCGGUUGUGCGCUCUGCCAGGCAGAGUCGCUGGUUUACCACCAGCGGGAACCCAUUGAAGUUCCGACCCGCACGAAUGGUAUAACGGUCUGGGCACUGUCUCGACGCGAGGCCCGGUGAAAUUUCAGUCCUGGUGCAAAUGCCAGGUAGACUACGGAAGGACGAAAAGACCCUAUGAAGCUUUACUAUAGGCUGGCAUUGCAUUGUUGGUUUGCGUGCGCAGGAUAGGUGGGAGACUCUGAAACCGGGGCUUUGGCUCUGGUGGAGUCGCCGUUGAGAUACCACCCUCGUGUACUGACGAUGCUCACUCACUCCCCGUAAUCGUGGGGUGAGGACCGUGCUUGCUGGGUAGUUUAACUGGGGCGGUUGCCUCCUAAAGCGUAACGGAGGCGCGCAAAGGUCCACUAGCGCCGGAUGGAAAUCGGCGUGGUCGUGUAAUCGCACACGUGGGCCUGACUGUGAGACUUACAGGUCGAGCAGAGACGAAAGUCGGCGAUAGUGAUCCGGCAACCUGCAGUACGUUUUAUUAUGUGCUGCGUCCAUGUGGAUGGGUUGUCGCUCAACGGAUAAAAGUUACUCUAGGGAUAACAGGCUGAUCGAUCCCAAGCGCCCAUAGCGACGGAUCGGUUUGGCACCUCGAUGUCGGCUCAUCGCAUCCUGGGGCUGGAGAAGGUCCCAAGGGUUUGGCUGUUCGCCAAUGAAAGCGGUACGCGAGCUGGGUUCAGAACGUCGUGAGACAGUUUGGCCUCUAUCCUCCGUGGUCAUUUAGAAACGUGAAGGAAGCUGCUC